rnacentral:rRNA from 1 species
GAUGAACGCUGGCGGCGUGCCUAAUACAUGCAAGUCGAGCGACCAGACGAGGAGCUUGCUCCUCUGUCGUUAGCGGCGGACGGGUGAGUAACACAUGGAUAACCUACCUGUCGGACUCGGAUGACUUCGGGAAACCGGAGCUGAUACCGACUAAUAUAUUUAACCGUAUGGUUUAAUAGUAAAAUUAAAGUUUGCUGUCCCUUGUAGGUGGUUCCGCGCCGCAUUUGCUAGUUGGUAUGGUGACGCCUUAACAAGGCGACGAUGCGUAGCCGACCGGAGAGGGGGAUCGGCCACACUGGAACUGAGACAAGGUCCAGACCCCUACGGGACGCAGCAGUAGGGAAUCGAACGCAAUGGGCGAAAGGCUGACGGAGCAACGCCGCGUGAGUUAUGAAGGUCUUGGGAUCGUAAAACUCUGUUAUUAGGGAAGAACAAAUGUGUAAGUAACGAUGCACGUCUUGACGGUACCUAAUCAGAAAGCCACGGCUAACUACGUG